rnacentral:rRNA from 1 species
AAUCAACGCUGGCGGCGUGCCUCAGACAUGCAAGUCGAACGAUUAAAGCUCUCUUCGGAGAGUGUAUAGAGUGGCGCACGGGUGAGUAACACGUAAGUAAUCUACCUUCGAGUGGGGAAUAACGUCCGGAAACGGACGCUAAUACCGCAUAAUGCAGCGGCAUCGCAAGAUGACAGUUGUUAAAGAUUUAUCGCUUGAAGAGGAGUUUGCGGCUGAUUAGCUAGUUGGUAAGGUAAUGGCUUACCAAGGCUACGAUCUGUAACCGGUCUAAGAGGACGGUAGGUCACACUGACACUGAAUAACGGGGCAGACUCCUACGGGAGGCAGCAGUCGGGAAUUUUGGGCAAUGGGCGAAAGCCUGACCCAGCAACGCCGCGUGAAGGAUGAAGUAUUUCGGUAUGUAAACUUCGAAAGAAUAGGAAGAAUAAAUGACGGUACUAUUUAUAAGGUCCGGCUAACUACGUGCCAUCCGCCGCAGUAAAAC